CACAUGCUGUGAACUCGAAGAGUAGGGCGGGACACGUGGUAUCCUGUCUGAAUAUGGGGGGACCAUCCUCCAAGGCUAAAUACUCCUGACUGACCGAUAGUGAACCAGUACCGUGAGGGAAAGGCGAAAAGAACCCCGGCGAGGGGAGUGAAAAAGAACCUGAAACCGUGUACGUACAAGCAGUGGGAGCCUCUUUAUGGGGUGACUGCGUACCUUUUGUAUAAUGGGUCAGCGACUUAUAUUCUGUAGCAAGGUUAACCGUAUAGGGGAGCCGAAGGGAAACCGAGUCUUAACUGGGCGUUAAGUUGCAGGGUAUAGACCCGAAACCCGGUGAUCUAGCCAUGGGCAGGUUGAAGGUUGGGUAACACUAACUGGAGGACCGAACCGACUAAUGUUGAAAAAUUAGCGGAUGACCUGUGGCUGGGGGUGAAAGGCCAAUCAAACCGGGAGAUAGCUGGUUCUCCCCGAAAGCUAUUUAGGUAGCGCCUCGUGAACUCAUCUUCGGGGGUAGAGCACUGUUUCGGCUAGGGGGCCAUCCCGGCUUACCAACCCGAUGCAAACUACGAAUACCGAAGAAUGUUAUCACGGGAGACACACGGCGGGUGCUAACGUCCGUCGUGAAGAGGGAAACAACCCAGACCGCCAGCUAAGGUCCCAAAGUCAUGGUUAAGUGGGAAACGAUGUGGGAAGGCACAGACAGCCAGGAUGUUGGCUUAGAAGCAGCCAUCAUUUAAAGAAAGCGUAAUAGCUCACUGGUCGAGUCGGCCUGCGCGGAAGAUGUAACGGGGCUAAACCAUGCACCGAAGCUGCGGCAGCGAC
rnacentral:rRNA from 1 species